GAUGAACGCUGGCUACAGGCUUAACACAUGCAAGUCGAGGGGAAACGACGGGGAAGCUUGCUUCCCCGGGCGUCGACCGGCGCACGGGUGAGUAACGCGUAUCCAACCUGCCUCUGACUGAGGGAUAACCCGUCGAAAGUCGGCCUAAUACCUCAUGGCAUCGUCUGCGGGCAUCCAACGACGAUUAAAGAUUUCAUCGGUCAGAGAUGGGGAUGCGUCUGAUUAGCUUGUUGGCGGGGUAACGGCCCACCAAGGCGACGAUCAGUAGGGGUUCUGAGAGGAAGGUCCCCCACAUUGGAACUGAGACACGGUCCAAACUCCUACGGGAGGCAGCAGUGAGGAAUAUUGGUCAAUGGGCGAGAGCCCGAACCAGCCAAGUAGCGUGCAGGAUGACGGCCCUAUGGGUUGUAAACUGCUUUUAUGCGGGGAUAAAGUGAGGGACGUGUCCUUCAUUGCAGGUACCGCAUGAAUAAGGACCGGCUAAUUCCGUG
rnacentral:rRNA from 1 species